UACGGGAGGAGCAGUGGGGAAUAUUGCACAAUGGGCGCAAGCCUGAUGCAGCCAUGCCGCGUGUAUGAAAAAGGCCUUCGGGUUGUAAAGUACUUUCAGUCGUGAGGAAGGUGUUAAGGUUAAUAACCUUAGCAAUUGACGUUAGCGACAGAAGAAGCACCGGCUAACUCCGUGCCAGCAGCCGCGGUAAUACGGAGGGUGCGAGCGUUAAUCGGAAUUACUGGGCGUAAAGGGCACGCAGGCGGUUAAUUAAGUUGGAUGUGAAAUCCCCGGGCUUAACCUGGGAAUGGCAUUCAAGACUGGUUAGCUAGAGUCUUGUAGAGGGGGUAGAAUUCCAUGUGUGCGGUGAAUGCGUAGAGAUGUGGAGGAAUACCGGUGGCGAAGGCGGCCCCUGGACAAAGACUGACGCUCAUGUGCGAAAGCGUGGGGAGCAAACAGGGAUUAGAUACC
rnacentral:rRNA from 1 species